rnacentral:piRNA from 1 species
UGAAAAAGCAGCAUAUUCGGC